rnacentral:rRNA from 1 species
AUCUUUAUAAAUUUACUUUCAAAUCCACCUUCAAAUAAUUUUUCAUAUUAAUAUUCAUAUAAAUAUUUUUAAUGUAACUCAUCUCUACUUAAAUAUUAGCUACACCUUGAUCUGAAAUAAUAUCAUUUAUAAAUUAAGGAAAAUUUUUAUUCUUUUAAAAUAUUCUGAUAACGACGGUAUAUAAACUGAUUACAAAUUUAAGUAAGGUCCAACGGGGAUUAUCAAUUAUAGGACAAGUUCCUCUGAAUAGACUAAAAUACCGCCAAAUUUUUAAGUUUCAAGAACAUAACUAUUAC